AACGAACGUUAGCGGCGCGCCUAACACAUGCAAGUCGCACGAGAAAGGGCUUCGGCCCCGGUAAAGUGGCGCACGGGUGAGUAACACGUGGGUAAUCUGCCCUCGAGCAGGGGAUAACAUUCCGAAAGGAGUGCUAAUACCGUAUAAGACCACGACCUCGAAAGAGGAUGCGGUCAAAGCUGGCCUCGAUACAUAAGCUAGCACUUGAGGAUGAGCCCGCGGCGCAUCAGGUAGUUGGUGAGGUAAUGGCUCACCAAGCCUAAGACGCGUAGCUGGUCUGAGAGGAUGAUCAGCCACACUGGAACUGAGACACGGUCCAGACUCCUACGGGAGGCAGCAGUGGGGAAUCUUGCGCAAUGGGCGAAAGCCUGACGCAGCGACGCCGCGUGAGUGAUGAAGGCCUUCGGGUUGUAAAGCUCUGUGGGGAGAGACGAAUAAGUGCAGCCUAAUACGUUGCAUGAUGACGGUAUCUCCUUAGCAAGCACCGGCUAACUCUGUGCCAGCCGCCGCAGUAAAAC
rnacentral:rRNA from 1 species